UGUGAUGCGACAUUCUCGGGGAUUUUGUUUUGGAAUCAAAAAGGAUGCCCUCCUGAGUGAAUCCUGGCUGGCAGUGGGUGGAUGUAGCCUCUGGCCCCACCUGUGACCACCAGCGGUCCAGCACAGAAGAUAAUGCAACUUUGGAAGCCACACAACGGAGCUACAAGAUGGAAGGAGGCUGGGCCUUCAAUCACUCUUUGGAGAAGAGCUACCCCACUCUUUAGGUGUGCCAUGGAGAAUUAGUGUAACCCCCUGUUUUCUGCUCCGUGACCCAGGGCUGGGACUCAGGCAACCUUUCUCCAUUGUCAUCUGGUUUCCUGUUUCUACAGGUUUGGUGUCUUCGUCCUCUGCCAAAUCUGUUGUGUGUCUAUUCCAUCUAUUAAGAACUUCUACAUGAAGAUUCAGAAGAAAAAUAACCUUAUAACCUCUAUAAAACAAAACCAAGGAGCAUGAGAACAACACUGGAUUAAGUGUCAGGAGACUGAGGUUCACGUUUGGACCAUGGAGAAAUACCUAUGGCUCUCGAGCACCUAAUUUAAUUCAGUAUCACUUUGGCAUUCACAAAUUAUUGUUUUUGAACAAUUUUAAAGGUCCCUGGUAUGAUGGUUUGUAAUUUUUAUUGAGGUAUGAACUUGAGUUGCCUUGAGUCUAGAACAUGCGUUCUUUUUAACUAAUUAAGUAAUUUUUAAUUGGUGCAUUAUAAAUUACACAUAAUGCUGGAA